rnacentral:rRNA from 1 species
UACGGAGGGUGCAAGCGUUAUCCGGAUUUACUGGGUUUAAAGGGUGCGUAGGCGGGCUUUUAAGUCAGCGGUGAAAUCUCCGGGCUCAACCCGGAAAUUGCCGUUGAUACUAUUAGUCUUGAAUUAAGUUGAGGUGGGCGGAAUAUGUCAUGUAGCGGUGAAAUGCUUAGAUAUGACAUAGAACACCGAUUGCGAAGGCAGCUCGCUAAACUUAUAUUGACGCUGAGGCACGAAAGCGUGGGGAUCAAACAGGG